rnacentral:rRNA from 1 species
CAAGCGACUAAGUGCAUCUGGUGGAUGCCUUGGCGAUCACAGGCGAUGAAGGACGUGCAAGCCUGCGAAAAGCAGCGGGGAGCUGGCAAUGGAGCUUUGAUCCGCUGAUGUCCGAAUGGGGAAACCCCUCCGCAAGGAGAUCCUGCGCUGAAUAUAUAGGCGUAUGGAGGCGAACCGGGAGAACUGAAACAUCUAAGUACCCCGAGGAAAAGAAAUCAACCGAGAUUCCGUCAGUAGUGGCGAGCGAACGCGGAAGAGCCUGUAUGUGAUAAGGAUUGCGAUAGUGGAACACUCUGGAAAGUGUGGCCAUAGUGGGUGAUAGCCCCGUACACGAAAUUGCAUUCCUGGUACUGAGCAUACGAGAAGUAGGGCGGGACACGCGAAAUCCUGUCUGAAGAUGGGGGGACCAUCCUCCAAGGCUAAAUACUCGUGAUCGACCGAUAGUGAACCAGUACCGUGAGGGAAAGGCGAAAAGCACCGCGGGAGCGGAGUGAAAUAGAACCUGAAACCGGAUGCAUACAAACAGUGGGAGCCUCCUUUGUGGGGUGACUGCGUACCUUUUGUAUAAUGGGUCAGCGACUUACAUUCAGUGGCAAGCUUAACCGAAUAGGGGAGGCGUAGGGAAACCGAGUCCGAAUAGGGCGUCUCAGUCGCUGGGUGUAGACCCGAAACCGAGUGAUCUAUCCAUGGCCAGGAUGAAGGUGCGGUAACACGCACUGGAGGUCCGAACCCACUAGUGUUGCAAAACUAGGGGAUGAGCUGUGGAUAGGGGUGAAAGGCUAAACAAACUCGGAGAUAGCUGGUUCUCCCCGAAAACUAUUUAGGUAGUGCCUCAUGUAUCACUUCCGGGGGUAAAGCACUGUUAUGGCUAGGGGGUCAUUGCGAUUUACCAAACCAUGGCAAACUCAGAAUACCGGAAAGUGUGAGCAUGGGAGACAGACGGUGGGUGCUAACGUCCAUCGUCAAGAGGGAAACAACCCAGACCGCCAGCUAAGGUCCCAAAUGAUCAGUUAAGUGGUAAACGAGGUGGGAAGGCCUAGACAGCCAGGAUGUUGGCUUAGAAGCAGCCAUCAUUUAAAGAAAGCGUAAUAGCU